rnacentral:rRNA from 1 species
GCAGCGGCGGUAAUAUACGUGAUCCUCAAGCGUUAUCCGGAUUUAUUGGGCGUAAAGCGUUCGUAGGCGGCGAGAUAAGUUUUUGGUUAAAGCCCACGGCUUAACCGUGGAAAUGCCAAGAAUACUAUCUUGCUAGAGGGCAUUAGGGGCUGAUGGAACGGUCGGUGUAGGGGUGAAAUCCGUUGAUAUCGACCGGAACACCAGAAGCGAAGGCAUUCAGCUAGGAUGACCCUGACGCUGAGGAACGAAAGCGUGGGUAGCAAAAAGGAUUAGAUACCCUUGUAGUCCACGCUGUAAAUGAUGGACACUAGCUAUUUGAAGUGUCGACCCUUCAAGUGGCGAAGCUAACGCGUUAAGUGUCCCGCCUGGGAAGUACGGCCGCAAGGCUAAAACUCAAAGGAAUAGACGGGGCUUCACAUAAGCGGUGGAUCAUGUGGCUUAAUUCGACAACAAACGAGGAACCUUACCAGGGCUUGACAUUCUGCUAAAAUCCCGCAGAAACGCGGGACUACCCACAAGGAUAGCAGAACAGGUGCUGCAUGGUUGUCGUCAGCAUGUGCCGUGAGGUGCACCCUUAAAUGGGGUAACAUGCGCAACCCUCGUCCUGCGUUUCAAGUGUCGCAGGAAACUGCCUAAGAUAAUUAGGAGGAAGGUGAGGAUGACGCCAAAUCAGCAUGGCCCUUUGACGCCCUGGGCCGCACACAUGAUACAAUGGGACUGACAAUGGGCAAAACCGUAAGGCGAAGGUAAUCCCAUCAAACGGUCUCUUAGUUCGGAUUGAGGUCUGCAACUCGACCUCAUGAAGUUGGAAUCGCUAGUAAUCGCCAAUCAGCUAUGUGGCGAUGAAUAUGUUCCUGAGGCCUGUACUCACCGCCCGUCACGUCAAGCAAGCUGGGAAUACCCGAAGUUCGCGCUUUUAGCGCGACCUAAAGUACACUCAGUAUGAGGGGCGGAAGUCGUAACAAGGUAACCGU